UUUAUAUAGUUUAAUAAAACAUUUUAUUUUCAUUAAAAAAAAGACUGAAAAGUCUAUAAAU
rnacentral:tRNA from 1 species